rnacentral:misc_RNA from 1 species
CCGUGCAUGAGUGGUGUUUGGUUUGAUACGGGUGGUYGGCUCCCUGCUUGAGCAGGCACGGCCACGCGUGCAUUCCUUUUCAGCUGUGCGACAAGGCUUGUAUCGUCUUGAUCGUAUAAGUGGGUUUCCUGUGUUGCAUACCUGAUCAAUGGCAUCGUCUUGAUCAAAAGUGUGUAUUUUUCGUCUGGCAAUGCACCURCAUUGUCGGAUGAACCCCGUAGCAUCCUCUUUGAUCCAUACAGUUGACGUACUUUUGUUGAUUGUUUGGCCCAUUGAGGGUGACUCGGUCUCUCGGAUAUGGAAGCCAAAGUGGGCAUGGGGUCGCAAGAUCUCUUUAUUGUCCUCAUUGAGCGUUCUCACUUCUCUCUCAAGACCGCCUUACGCGUAUGGCACGUCUCAGCGUGUUUGGCUACGUCGAAGAGGGAUGUUGGGCGUUCUUGCUUUUCUUACACGACUGCCUUUCACGUAUGGCACGUCCC